AAUAAUGUACAAUAGUUGAAUGAAUUCAACGAAAAUUGUUAUUUUUUUAUUUAGUUUUACGGACAGAAAAUGAAAAAGAUAAAUUAUUAGCCUUAUGAAAAAAAAAACAUCAAAAUUAUACAAUUAAAUUAGUUACUUAUAAUGAAUUACCAGCCAUUCGUAUUUUGAGGUCUAAGUAGAAAGAAUGAUCAAACCCAAAAUAUGUGGUGUGGCUUUAGAAUUAGAGUAUAAGCUUGGGAAACAAAGUUGGUUUGGU